rnacentral:rRNA from 1 species
UGGGGAAUAUUGCACAAUGGGCGAAAGCCUGAUGCAGCAACGCCGCGUGAAGGAAGAAGGCUUUCGAGUCGUAAACUUCUGUCCAAAGGGAAGAAUAAUGACGGUACCUUUGAAGAAAGCCCCGGCUAACUACGUGCCAGCAGCCGCGGUAAUACGUAGGGGGCGAGCGUUAUCCGGAAUUACUGGGCGUAAAGAGUAUGUAGGUGGUUAAGUAAGCGUAGGGUUUAAGGCGACAGCCCAACUGUCGUAUGCCCCGCGAACUGUUUAACUUGAGUACAGGAGGGGAAGGCGGAAUUCCUAGUGUAGCGGUGAAAUGCGUAGAUAUUAGGAGGAACACCAGUGGCGAAGGCGGCCUUCUGGACUGUAACUGACACUGAGAUACGAAAGCGUGGGUAGCAAACAGGAUUAGAUACCCUGGUAGUCCACGCCGUAAACGAUGAGCACUAGGUGUCGGGCUCGCAAGAGUUCGGUGCCGGAGCAAACGCAUUAAGUGCUCCGCCUGGGGAGUACGCACGCAAGUGUG